UACAGAGGGGGCAAGCGUUGUUCGGAAUUACUGGGCGUAAAGGGCUCGUAGGCGGCCAACUAAGUCAGACGUGAAAUCCCCAGGCUCAACCUGGGAACUGCGUCUGAUACUGGUUGGCUUGAAUCCGGGAGAGGGAUGCAGAAUUCCAGGUGUAGCGGUGAAAUGCGUAGAUAUCUGGAGGAAUACCGGUGGCGAAGGCGGCAUCCUGGACCGGCAUUGACGCUGAGGAGCGAAAGCUAGGGGAGCAAACGGG
rnacentral:rRNA from 1 species